rnacentral:rRNA from 1 species
CCAGCCUGCCCAGUGACUCGAUUUAACGGCCGCGUACCCUAACCGCGCAAAGGUAGCAUAAUCACUUGUCCCUUAAAUAUGGACCAGUAUCAACGGCAUCACGAGGGUUCCUCUGUCUCCUUUUUCUAAUCAGUGAAACUGAUCUCCCCGUGAAGAAGCGGGGAUAAACCCAUAAGACGAGAAGACCCCAUGGAGCUUUAAACC